rnacentral:rRNA from 1 species
GACGAACGCUGGCGGCGUGCUUAACACAUGCGAGUCGAACGAAGCAUUUAGAACAGAUUACUUCGGUUUGAAGUUCUUUAUGACUGAGUGGCGGACGGGUGAGUAACGCGUGGGUAACCUGCCUUGUACUGGGGGAUAGCAGCUGGAAACGGCUGGUAAUACCGCAUAAGCGCACAAUGUUGCUUGACAUGGUGUGAAAAACUCCGGUGGUAUAAGACGGACCCGCGUCUGAUUAGCUAGUUGGUGAGAUAACAGCCCACCAAGGCGAUGAUCAGUAGCCGACCUGAGAGGGUGACCGGCCACAUUGGGACUGAGACACGGCCCAGACUCCUACGGGAGGCAGCAGUGGGGAAUAUUGCACAAUGGAGGAAACUAUGAUGCAGCGACGCCGCGUGAGUGAAGAAGUAAUUCGUUAUGUAAAGCUCUAUCAGCAGGGAAGAUAGUGACGGUACCUGACUAAGAAGCUCCGGCUAAAUACGUGCCAGCCGCCGCAGUAAGAC